rnacentral:rRNA from 1 species
UACGGGGGGGGGCAAGCGUUGUUCGGAAUUACUGGGCGUAAAGGGCUCGUAGGCGGCCAACUAAGUCAGACGUGAAAUCCCCAGCUCAACCUGGGAACUGCGUCUGAUACUGGAUGGCUUGAAUCCGGGAGAGGGAUGCAGAAUUCCAGGUGUAGCGGUGAAAUGCGUAGAUAUGCGGAGGAACACCGAUGGCGAAGGCAAUCCCCUGGGCCUGCACUGACGCUCAUGCACGAAAGCGUGGGGAGCAAACAGG